UGAACGAGAAAAUUUCUUCGGAAAUAAGUAGAGUGGCGCACGGGUGAGUAACACGUAGAUAACCUGCCCUUUAGUCUGGGACAACCCUUCGAAAGGGGGGCUAAUACUGGAUGAUACCUAAUGUCGAGUGGCAAUAGGUUGAAAGAUUUAUCGCUAGAGGAUGGGUCUGCGUACCAUUAGCUUGUUGGUGGGGUAAUGGCCUACCAAGGCUUCGAUGGUUAGCGGGUCUGAGAGGAUGAUCCGCCACACUGGAACUGAGACACGGUCCAGACUCCUACGGGAGGCAGCAGUGGGGAAUUUUGCGCAAUGGGGGAAACCCUGACGCAGCAAUACCGCGUGAGUGAAGAAGGCCUUUGGGUCGUAAAGCUCUUUUCUAGGGGAAGAUAGUGACGGUACCCUAGGAAUAAGCACCGGCUAACUCCGUGCCAGCAGCCGCGGUAAUACGGAGGGUGCGAGCGCUGUUCGGAUUUACUGGGCGUAAAGGGCACGUAGGCGGCUUGGCAAGUUAAGGGUGAAAACCCGGGGCUUAACUCCGGAACUGCUCUUAAAACUGCCAGGCUAGAGAUGGUCAGAGGCGGGUGGAAUUCCAGGUGUAGAGGUGAAAUUCGUAGAUAUCUGGAGGAACACCGGUGGCGAAGGCGGCCCGCUGGGGCCAUUCUGACGCUAAUGUGCGAAAGCGUGGGGAGCGAACGGGAUUAGAUACCCCGGUAGUCCACGCCGUAAACGAUGAAUACCGGCUGUUUGAGGCAUCGACACCUCAAGUGGCGCAGCUAACGCGUUGAGUAUUCCGCCUGGGGAGUACGGUCGCAAGACUAAAACUCAAAGGAAUUGACGGGGGCCCGCACAAGCGGUGGAGCAUGUGGUUUAAUUCGACGCAACGCGAAGAACCUUACCUGGGUUUGACAUCCCCGGACCGCCCUAGAGAUAGGGUUUUCUCUUCGGAGACCGGGUGACAGGUGCUGCAUGGCUGUCGUCAGCUCGUGUCGUGAGAUGUUGGGUUAAGUCCCGCAACGAGCGCAACCCUUGUCCUUAGUUGCCAGCACGUAAUGGUGGGAACUCUAAGGAGACUGCCGGUGUUAAGCCGGAGGAAGGUGGGGAUGACGUCAAGUCCUCAUGGCCUUUAUAUCCAGGGCUACACACGUGCUACAAUGGUAACUACAAAGAGCGGCGAUACCGCGAGGUGGAGCGAAUCUCAAAAAAGUUAUCUCAGUUCGGAUUACAGUCUGCAACUCGGCUGUAUGAAGUUGGAAUCGCUAGUAAUCGUAGAUCAGCGUGCUACGGUGAAUACGUUCCCGGGCCUUGUACACACCGCCCGUCACACCAUGGGAGUUGACAUUGGCAGAAUACAUUGAGCUAACUUCGGAAGCAGGUGUAGAAGCUAGUGUUGAUGACUGGGGUGAAGUCGAAACAAGGUA
rnacentral:rRNA from 1 species